UAUAAUCAUGACUCACAAAAAUGCUUGCAACUUUGUUUACUUUUUUUCAGGUUUUUAUCAAAUGCAGAAUCCAAUUCUUUAAAGAGAAAAUCUAAAUGUCUUUGGUUGAUAAAUAUACUUUGUGUUGGAUAUAUUCAUAUAAUAGCCAGGAGCUCAACAUAUAUGUAAAUCUGUAUCCUUUGGGGUAGAAUUUUUAAAAAAAAAAUUUAUGUUGACUCGGCAUGGCUCGUGCUAAUUAGAGCCAACGAGCACCAGCUGUGGUCUCUUGUCACCUGCUAUAAAAGCUCCUCGAGUCAGUCCUCUUAACAACUGUCACUGAAGUUAUGGCUGUUGUUUGGCUCGUGGUUGUUUUGGUGCAUGCCGUCUUGAUGGAUAAAGGCCUUUGUUUUACAGCUGGGGUUAAACAAGGUCCAUCCAAUGCUCUGGUUCAAAAAGGUGUUCCAGG